rnacentral:rRNA from 1 species
UAUGUCGGUAGUGAAAGCGUUCGGCUCAACCGAAUAAACAUUACUGAAACUGCUAAGCUAGAAGAUGAGAGAGGUCACUGGAAUUCCCUGUGUAGGAGUGAAAUCCGUAGAUAUAGGGAGGAACACCGAUGGCGUAGGCAGGUGACUGGCUCAUUCUUGACACUAAGGCACGAAAGCGUGGGGAGCAAACGGGAUUAGAUACCCCGGUAGUCCACGCCGUAAACUAUGGAUGCUA